rnacentral:rRNA from 1 species
GGGGAAUUUUCCGCAAUGGGCGAAAGCCUGACGGAGCAAUACCGCGUGAGGGAUGACGGCCUAUGGGUUGUAAACCUCUUUUGUCAGGGAGGAAAAAAAUGACGUUACCUGAAGAAUAAGCAUCGGCUAACUCCGUGCCAGCAGCCGCGGUAAGACGGAGGAUGCAAGUGUUAUCCGGAAUCACUGGGCGUAAAGCGUCUGUAGGUGGUUUAAUAAGUCAACUGUUAAAUCUUGAGGCUCAACCUCGAAACCGCAGUCGAAACUAUUAGACUAGAGUAUAGUAGGGGUAAAGGGAAUUUCCAGUGGAGCGGUGAAAUGCGUAGAGAUUGGAAAGAACACCGAUGGCGAAGGCGCUCUACUGGACCGAAACUGACACUCAGGGACGAAAGCUAGGGGAGCGAAAGGGAUUAGAUACCCCUGUAGUC